rnacentral:misc_RNA from 1 species
UUGAUAAGAUCGUGCAGGAGAGCCAUGGUAGAGGAGAGAGAAACCACAACCAAGAUCAUCGCCGAAUACGUAUGGAUUGGCGGAAGUGGUAUGGAUCUCAGGAGCAAAGCAAGGACACUUCCGGGGCCGGUAUCCGAUCCUAAAGACCUUCCGAAGUGGAACUAUGAUGGCUCGAGCACCGGUCAAGCUCCGGGUGAAGAUAGUGAAGUGAUUUUGUAUCCUCAAGCCAUUUUCAAGGAUCCUUUCAGGAGGGGAAACAACAUUAUUGUCAUGUGUGACUGUUACACACCUGCUGGAGAGCCAAUCCCCACCAACAAGAGAUUUAACGCUUCUAAGAUAUUUAGUCGCCCCGAAGUUGCUGCUGAAGUACCUUGGUAUGGAAUUGAGCAGGAGUACACCCUUCUGCAGAAAGAUAUUAAGUGGCCUCUCGGCUGGCCCGUCGGUGGCUUCCCCGGCCCUCAGGGUCCUUACUAUUGCGCUGCGGGCGCUGAGAAAGCUUUUGGGCGUGAUGUUGUCGAUGCCCACUAUAAAGCCUGUUUAUAUGCCGGGAUCAACAUCAGUGGCAUCAAUGGAGAAGUCAUGCCCGGCCAGUGGGAGUUCCAAGUAGGCCCUUCGGUCGGUAUCUCCGCUGGUGAUGAAGUAUGGAUCGCUCGCUAUAUACUUGAGAGGAUCACUGAGAUUGCUGGUGUCGUUGUCUCGUUCGACCCAAAACCAAUUGAGGGAGAUUGGAAUGGUGCUGGUGCCCACACUAACUACAGCACCAAAUCUAUGAGGAGCGAUGGAGGAUUUGAAGUGAUAAAGAAGGC